CCUACGGGUGGCUGCAGUGAGGAAUAUUGGUCAAUGGCCGGAAGGCUGAACCAGCCAUGCCGCAUGAAGGUCAGUGCCCUAUGGGCGUUAAACUUCUUUUUUGCGGGAGCUAUAAUGGUCACGUGUGGCCAGACGAGAGUACCCGGAGAAAAAGCAUCGGCUAACUCCGGUCCAGCAGCCGCGGUUAUACGGAGGAUGCGAGCGUUUUCCGGAUUUUUUGGGUUUAAAGGGUGCGUAGGCGGGUCGUUAAGUCAGUGGUAAAAUGGAGGGGAUAAACCCCUUCCCGCCAUUGAUACUGGCGCUCUUGAGUGGAAGAGAGGUAUGCGGAAUGCGUGGUGUAGCGGUGAAAUGCAUAGAUAUCACGCAGAACCCCGAUUGCGAAGGCAGCAUGCCGGCUUGCGACUGACGCUGAAGCACGAAAGCGUGGGGAUCGAACAGGAUUAGAUACCCCAGUAGUC
rnacentral:rRNA from 1 species